GGGACUUACUUCUUUGCUGUGGACACGUGUGAGGAGAAAACUUCUGGAAACAGAUCAGACUCGGCCAAACAAGCACGAACAGUAAAUUCCGAAUCAAUCGGGCUGGUCAUAGCGAUACUCUGCUUGGUGAUUUCUCUGAUUGGAAAUGUUUCUCUCAUUUGCUUCCAAACUCCGAGAGAAGAAAGUGAACAAUCUAAAGCUGCUGUCGUCCUGCAAUUAAACAGCGAGAGGGUGAAAAAUCAACAGAUUGAUGAGGAGACUAAAGUUUACUCUGCUGUGGUCUUCACCAUGAGGAAAGCUGACCGUGGUGCAGUGAAGGAUGCAAAAGUAGCGCAGAGGAAAAGGAUGUGUGCUGCUGUGAAGGAUUUUGGUUUGAAUUAGUGAGUGAAAAGGUCUGUUUGGCUACAUUUGAUUUAGCUGAUUUUAGUUUGUUUAAAGCUUAAGAAAAUGCUGAUUACCUCCAAAUAUCUACACUUAGAUAACUUAAGGAGGUGCUAUGAAUAUUCUAUCACUCAGGUUGUGACUGUAUUGGUAUGUGUAUGCAAAUGAUAUUCUAUAAUUCAUAAUAAAAUGUAUUUGUCAAACCUCCUUGGAUUAAAGGACUGUAACAUUCAGGCUUA